AGGCCGAAACCUGUAUGCUUAUUUAUUACACUCUUGUUGGAUCUUAAAACCUCUCUGAUCUCUCUUUCAGUGUAAUCAGCCAUGAAUUACUUGAAAUCGGCCUUCUUACUCUGUUUUGUCCUUCAAGCACUGAUCUUGCUUCCUUCUUCUGUGCAUUCCAAAGAUGGUACUUUAUAUACUCUUUAUCAAUUGUAUAAUCUAAAGCUCUCAUUUUGCUUCCUGAUAGAUUUUGAAGGAAACUUUACUCAUUUCGUUUUGUAGAGGAUGAGGAUAACCUUCUGCAAGGGCUGAACAGC
rnacentral:lncRNA from 1 species